rnacentral:rRNA from 1 species
CAAUAGCGUAUAUUAAAGCUGUUGCAGUUAAAAAGCUCGUAGUUGGAUUUCUGGUGGGAGCGAUCGGUCUGGCGCUUAGCGCGAGUACUUGCAUCGUCUCCGGCCAUCCUUGGGGAAAGUCUGUCUGGCAUUAAGUUGUCGGGCAGAGGAUCCUCAUCGUUUACUGUGAAAAAAUUAGAGUGUUCAAAGCAGGCUUAUGCCGUUGAAUAUAUUAGCAUGGAAUAAUAAGAUAGGACUUUGGUACUAUUUUGUUGGUUUGCGCACCAAAGUAAUGAUUAAUAGGGACAGUUGGGGGUAUUCGUAUUCCGUUGUCAGAGGUGAAAUUCUUGGAUUUACGGAAGACGAACUACUGCGAAAGCAUUUACCAAGGAUGUUUUCAUUAA